ACGACUACAGAGAGUUUGAUCAUGGCUCAGAUUGAACGCUGGCGGCAUGCCUUACACAUGCAAGUCGAACGGCAGCACGGGGGCAACCCUGGUGGCGAGUGGCGAACGGGUGAGUAAUAUAUCGGAACGUGCCCUAGAGUGGGGGAUAACGUAGCGAAAGUUACGCUAAUACCGCAUACGAUCUAUGGAUGAAAGCGGGGGAUCGCAAGACCUCGUGCCCCUGGAGCGGCCGAUAUCUGAUUAGCUAGUUGGUGAGGUAAAAGCUCACCAAGGCGACGAUCGGUAGCUGGUUUGAGAGAACGACCAGCCACACUGGGACUGAGACACGGCCCAGACUCCUACGGGAGGCAGCAGUGGGGAAUUUUGGACAAUGGGGGCAACCCUGAUCCAGCAAUGCCGCGUGUGUGAAGAAGGCCUUCGGGUUGUAAAAGCACUUUUGUCCGGAACGAAACGCGCUGAGCUAAUAUCUCGGCGUAAUGACGGUACCGGAAGAAUAAGCACCGGCUAACUACGUGCCA
rnacentral:rRNA from 1 species